UGGCAAAGAAAGUUCUGAUACACUAUAUAUCAGGAAAUUUAUGUGCCAUGUUUGUUAAUUUGUCUCCUGGCUCCAUUAUGACAAAACUUGGGAGAUCCAGGGACACCAGCCUGCUUUCCCUAUUGUUGAUCAUUUUCCCCUUAUUGACACAAAAUGUUAGUAUUAUUGGUACCGCUUCGACUAAUUCCAAUCUCCAUUUUAAAGAAGCGCCACAGUUCUACAACUCCCAUAGUUGUUCUACCAUUAGUUCUUCAGAAAAUACAGUACAUGUCGCUAUGACCCUUGAUAUACCUUAUCUUCGGGGUUCAAUGGCUGCUAUUCUUUCUGUAUUACAACAUUCUUCUUGCCCCGAAAAUGUAAUUUUCCAUUUCAUCGCCUCUUCCUCUGCUGAAACCGCACACUUGAACCUUACUAUUACAAAAUCAUUCCCUUAUCUUCAUUUCACAAUUUAUCCAAUCCAAGAUAUUGCAGCCGUGGCAGGGCUAAUUUCGACCUCUAUUCGUUCUGCUUUAGAUUGUCCUUUAAAUUACGCACGUAAUUAUCUUGCUGAUCUGCUUCCUAAAUACCUUAACAAGGUUGUUUAUCUCGAUUCGGACCUUGUUCUAGUAGACGACAUUGCUAAAUUAGCAUCAACGCCUCUAACAGAGGAUUCUGUUUUAGCAGCACCUGAAUAUUGCAACGCAAAUUUCACUACUUAUUUCACUCCCACCUUUUGGUCUAAUCCUUCUCUUUCUUUAAUUUUUGCGAACCGAAUUCGAAAGCCUUGUUAUUUUAACACUGGUGUUAUGGUUAUUGAUCUUGUGAGAUGGAGAGCUGGUGAUUAUACAACUAAGAUUGUAGAGUGGAUGGAGUUGCAAAAGAGAAUGAGGAUUUAUGAAUUGGGUUCUUUACCGCCUUUUCUGCUUGUUUUUGCUGGAAAUAUAGCUCCAGUCGAUCAUAGUUGGAACCAACAUGGUCUUGGUGGAGAUAAUUUUCGUGGACUUUGCAGGGACUUGCACCCUGGUCCGGUUAGCCUGUUGCAUUGGAGUGGCAAGGGAAAACCUUGGGCUCGACUCGACGCGAACCACCCUUGUCCGUUAGAUGCCCUCUGGUCACCUUAUGAUCUACUGCAAUCACAUUAUACUCUUGAGUCUUAAGGUGUUUUCGCAAUUGUAGUAAAAGAGAUCGAGAGUAGAGAUCUGUGCAGUAUUUGUUUCUAUUCACGGGGGGCCCCGGAAGGGAUAAGUUAAGGAUACGAUGCUUUUCUGGACCAAGAGGCCCAUAAGGUUCACGGAUCAUUUGCAAGGCCAUAAUUUAACCUGCCUCAGUUUGACGGUCAACAGAUAUUUUUGUGCCAUACCCCCUGCCAGAUAUUUCUUUUUCAUUUUGUUUAUUUAUUACAUUGAGAAAUGGAAGGAUAGGAAUUAAAUCUCAUACUUAUUGUGACGGUACUUUCACAAAUGUCACUCUACCAAAUUAAAGAUCCAGGGAAGUUAUUGUAAUGAUUUUUAUCUCGAGUCAAGAAGUUAUUGUACAAGCUCAUAUGGGUAAGUUAUGAUAAGGUCAUCCAUUGGUAAAAGUUUAAUGUGCCCCAAUAUUUAUACUAAACCAUACUUAUUUAUUUUGUUCAAGUCAUAGAUUAAGGUGAAUAUGUGCACUAAUUAACUACAUUUUAUGAUAACAUAAGUCAUUUAUGGGGUUGAAUAUAAACACUGGGAGCAGUUGGUUAUAACUUACAAACAGUUUUAGAACCCCAAGCUUUUGCUUAUGCUUUUAAACUUUUUUGACAGAAAUAACACACAUAGUCCUCAGCUUUAACCAGUAACACAUGUUUCAACUGGAUAAAUUUCUCUUCCAUAAGUUUAGUGAUAUAAAUAUGUUGGGAGUAUACUAAUUGACCAUUCUAGUAUUAACUAGUACUUCUUGAUUUUUCCUCCUCCAGUGCAGAGGUACUGUCUUCUUUUCCCUUCAAUUUGAUGCAUGCAUUUACCUUUCAUGCUAUUCAGUUACGUUAAAUUAGAUCCGUAUGCAAUAAUUGAUAAACAAAACAAAACAAAACAAUAACAAAAAACCGCUAUUUAACUUCUCACCAUAUUUUUGAGUUCCCCAUUCAUAUAAUCUGUUUACCUUUUAAGUUGAGACUAAAAAUUAGAUUCAUGACGACAAAAUCUUGCGGCAAAUAUGUUCCUUUAUAGAUUGAGAUACAGCUCUGUGAUGUAAAGAUCUAAAAAGCAUGUAAUAUAUGUCCCUUUAUAGAUUGAGAUACAGCUCUGUGAUGUAAAGAUCUAAAAAGCAUGUAAUAUUUCAAACUAUGAGAGACGUAUCUGUGCUAUAAGAUAUGCCAGAGCUAUAUCAUACUUGAGAUGAGAAACUAAAGAUCUAAUUUUCGACCAGCUACCUCUCCAAAAUUGUUCUACACCUUCAGAAUAAGAUUCUGAUAAGGAAAUUCAUCACUAAUUAGAAGACACAAGUAAAAUAAUUAUAAAGGGCAAAAAAAAAAAAAAA